rnacentral:rRNA from 1 species
ACGUAAUAGAUACCCCGGUAGUCCACGCCGUAAACGAUGAGCACUAGGUGUCGCGGGUAUUGACCCCUGCGGUGCCGACGCUAAACGCAUUAAGUGCUCCGCCUGGGGACUACGGCCGCAAGGUUAAAACUCAAAGGAAUUGACGGGGCCCGCACAAGCGGUGGAGCAUGUGGUUCAAAUUCGACGCAACGCGAAGAACCUUACCUGGGCUAGACAACGGAGGCCCGCCUCAGAGAUGAGGCUUUCCCUUCGGGGACGUUCCGGUUCAGGUGCUGCAUGGCUGUCGUCAGCUCGUGUCGUGAGAUGUUGGGUUAAGUCCCGCAACGAGCGCAACCCUGCCUUUAGUUGCCAUCAUUUCUAGUUGGGUCACUCUAGAGGAACUGCCCGCGUCAAGCGGGAGGAAGGUGGGGACGACGUCAAUCCUCAUGGCCCUUAUGUCCAGGGCUACACACGUGCUACAAUGGGCGGUACAAAGGGUCGCAAACCCGACGAGGGGGAGCCAAUCCCAAAAACGCCGUCCUCAGUUCGG